AAGAAGUAGAUUUAGAGUGAGCUAGAAAUCCACCACAAAGGUUAUCAGAUGACUGCCGGGACUUUUAAAGACCUCCCACUUUUCUUAGGAGUAUUCUGAUUAGUGAAGGUCUCUCUUAAAAUGAAGAUGCCUAGCACUGAACUGGAGAAGUGCAAGUAGUGUCUCAUGGGCAAAGAAUAAAUUGCACUCUAACUAUAUUUUUUGAUCCAGCAUCCAUAUAUAUAAAUAUGUGUGAGUAUCUUUACCCAUCUAUAUCACCUCUCUAUUUAAUUCCCGGGCUCAUUCUUUUCUUUGUUCGAUACAAUUUAAAACAUUUUUUAAAUUGAAGUACAGUUGAUUUACAAUGCUGUAUUAAUUUCUGCUCUAUGGUGUUCAACAUAGUUUUUGAGGAUCUAUCUAGGAAGUUCCCAGAAGUGCUCUAAGAGCUAUGCAUUCUUGAAGGAGAAGGGACAAAGCCAAAUCGUACAGUAUUGGGCUGGGGAAGUUGCCUGCUAAUUACAUCAUUACAUGUGUGACAUAUUUUAACAAUGGAGAAGUGAGGGACAUUAAAGCAGCACAUAGCAAGCAUCCCUAAUCCCCAGCUGGGUUUAGAAAUGUGGGCAGGCUGUAAAUGUAGAGCCCCCCGAGGUGGCUAUUUGUGAGAGCAUUUGUUCAACAGGUACUUGCAGGAGAGGCUGAGGAGAGGAGCUGUGGUGGCAUGGCUGUGACUCUUUUCCUGUCCCGAGUGAUUCAGCACUGGCCCUAAAUUCAGCAUAAUAGAAGUCCUGCUGUCAACCAAGCCCACCUUGUUACAAGGAAUUGUGGCUACUGCUGCGUUUCACCCUCAUCAGCAGUUCCGCGUUACAUCCUAAAGAGGCCUUUGUCUUCAUCUCAUUUUAUUUCAAGUGAUGCUCCGGUAGCUGUUAGAGAUCAGGACUCUGAAAUGUUGGGUCUCCUGAAGUCUCCUGAGCAAUGGUGUUUAAAGGGCCUCCAAGGAGGAGGAAAAGCUAAGCUUAUGAAGAGGGACUGGGAGAAGGAAGCCAGAAAGACGUGGCAUGCUCAAAAGCUCUAAGGAGAAAAGAGCAGCUGCUGAGGAGACCAGUAAAUCAGUGGAGAGGAAGAGAGAGAGGCCAGUAGGUCAGGGAAGGAUACAGAGAGAAGGGAGAGGUUGGCUUGAGAUACAGCUUGAAGGAUGGGUAAACUUGACCCCAUUUUUGCAUUGGUACCCCCAGUUGUAUUCUUUCCCCUUUUCUGCUCUGUUCUGUGCUCUGCAAAGUUGACUCUUGCAGAUGACAUCACCCAGACUCCCUUACUGGCUGGCUUCUAGUUGGAUUUGACCAGUGAGAUGCCACAGCAGUAUAUGUGGAGUGAGAGGUAGGCCGGGGAAUGUCUCUUCUGACUCUCCUCCUGCUUUGGUUCCCUGUCUCAGGCAAGAACUGCAUCCCUCCAGAUCCUUUGGAGACCCUUCCUCCAUGGCUCCAGCUCUCAUUGGGUGCCUGGUGCAUCCUAGCUUUGGCUUUAGGGAUAUUAAUGACUUCACAUUAUUAUUUCUUAUUGCCCCAUCGUCUUUGGUUGUUCCCUAAACUAUGCCUGAACUCCUGUAAGAAGUUCCUAAAUUAAAAUACCAUCAUCUAAAUGAUCUGGGAUCAGUUCUGUUUCCUGCAGGAAACCUGACUCAUUUUGGUGGGCCCUAAGUCUGUGCAGCUUGAGGAAACAUCUUGUAAAUCCAAUAAAAGUAUCACUUUAAAUUUUUUUUUUUUUUUUAACCUCACCCAAGAUGUUCAGUUCCCACAUCCUGGGGACAAUAAAAAGAUGCAGCCUUGGUGAGUCUUGGUAACUGCUGUCACGCCUCUUUCUUGUAUGAACCAUGUAUGAGGCUGGCUGAAGGCAUACAUGUAAAGCUGGAGGAGGAUUUUAUAUGCCUCCUGAUUCUCUCUUCUCCCUUCCUAUUUGGAAGCCCAUUUCUGACCUUUCACAUUGAUUGCUAUUGUGUGCUAAGCUGAGAAAUUUCAAAAUUAUCCUGAAAGCUACAUGGAUUUUCAGACUGGCAUCAAUACAUGUGAUGUUUAUAUAGAUCCCUGAUACAAUACACAUGGUUUUGAUGAUUUGGUAAGUUACUCCUUUCUCCAAGGACAGGAAUCCUGGUGAUAGUAACUUGACUCAGAAUAUAAUGUCUUCAGGUAGGUCACAAAAGAUUUGUUACCAUUCAUAGUUAAAGUAUUGCAGUUUGUAAAUAAUUAUAUUGAAGUUCGCAAAUAAUUAUCUAUGGAUUCAUAGUUAUCCUACAAUAACAGAAUACUUUCUUGCAUUGUGCUGUGCUUCCUUGAGAAAAGAAAAACCAGUUAAGAUUCAGCUAACUUGCAGGCAAUUGUUCAGGAGACCCGGCCUGCUUUGUCUAUGUCACGGUCAGGAAUGGAGUGGUGACUCGGGUAUUUAACUAGCACCUUGGAAGAAAAAGAUCAAGAACUGGAGUUCUCUUGUGGCUUAGUGGGUGAAGGAUCUGGCAUUGUCAUUGCUGUGACUUGGGUCACUGCAGUGGUGCAGGUUCAGCCCCUGGCCUGGGAACUUCCACGUGCUGCAGGUGUGGCCAAAAACAUUUCUUUGAAAAAAAAAAAAUCAAGAACUACUCCUUUCACAUCUAACUAUAACUAGAGGUGUAAUUUCUCCUUUUGUGAUCUGAAUAUAAGGAGAUCUUUUUUUCCUUUUGUGGGGAGAGUGGAUAGUAGGAAAUAAUAGUCAUUCAUAAGCCAUGACUAAAUAUUCAUUUAGACGAUAGCUUCAGGAAGGCGGAGCCUUGGUUUUGUCACUGCCCUGGUCCCAGUGAGCAGACUGCUAUCUGGCACAUAACAGAUGCUCAAUAUAUAUUUGUGGAAAGAAGGAGAAUUGGGCAGCCUCCUUUGUGGGCACACACAGGUACUCCCUUCUCAACAUCUCUGCCUGAGAAGCUUUAGAGGCCAGUAAAACUGCUUGCAUCCAGGUGUGUUUUUAUUUGCUGUGUUGUCUCAUGUGAUUUAACUAAUUUUGUGCUCUUCAGUUUCUUCAUCUAGGCUUGGUAAAAUAAGCUACUGAUAUUUACUUCAUUGUGUGGUAGGAGUUUAAUAACAUGAAGUUUGUGGAAAGAUAGGGUGAGCACCCUUAAAUAAAUUCAUUCACUCUUCAUUACUAUUCUUUUUAUCAUAUGAUGUUAUCUCUGAGCAAACUGGUGUUUUUUUUUUUUUUGAUUUUUAGGGCCAUACCUGUGGCAUGUGGAGAUUCCCAGGCUAGGGGUCGAAUUGGAGCUGUAGCUGCUGGCCUACACCACAGCCACAGCAACGCCAGAUCCGAGCCGCCUCUGCAGCCUACACCACAGCUCAUGGCAACGCCGGAUCCUUAACCCACUGAGCGAGGCCAGGGAUUGAACCCGGAAAUCCAUGGUUCCUAGUUGGAUUUGUUUCCGCUGCGCCACAGCAGGAACUCCGAGCAAACUGUUUUUAGUUUCUGAAUCAGGAGUUAUCUCCGAUUAAAGGAAACAAUCAUUUUGAUCAGUUUGGCUCAAAUAACUCUUCAUGUCAGGGGCAGAACAGCCAAAUGGUUUCCAGAGAAGCAUGGUAGGCUUGCUAGAGCCCCAAGAACUAGGAGAUUGAAUCAGUUUUCUCAUUCGUAAAAUAGGCAUGAAAAUCCCUGCCUUCUCUGUAUCACAGGGCUGCUGGGAGGACCAUAUCAGAGAAGGGACUGGGGUGUCCUGGAAUCUUAUAUAUGUCUUAGGGGUUACCGUUUCCCUCCCUCUGCCCCAAAUUUAUCUGGUUAGUGAAUCAGAUGGCCAGUCCUGGUAAAGACUGAAGCAUGAUGUUAGGUGAGUGUGAAAACCUGGUAAGCACCUGACAUACUGCUUUUUUGUAGGAUGGCCUUUCAGUUCAUGAGUGGUGCGUCUGCUGCAGAUCCAAGAGACCAUGGGAACACAUAUCCCCAGUGCAAGGAAAAGAGGGGUGCCUACUCUGUUCCAGGAAAAAUGCCCGAAGCUUCCAGGGCUCCUUAGACUGAAAGCAUAAGAGUUAAAUACUGUUGCUCAUCGAGAAAUCAAUACCAGCUUUUGUUCUGUUCUGAAGAAUGAGACAGCUCUGUUCCAAUUGGAGUGGUAUGUGUGAAGCAUACGAUAGCCUGUUCUGGGCCUAGCCUGGCCAGCAAUUGUUAAGGAAGCAACGUGAUAACCCCGGGUGACUGUGACAAUGAAACCCACUGGGGACUUGAAAAUGAGAAUGUCAGUGCAUUGCUUCUAUUUAUCUUUCUUAAAGACAGAGGUGGGAAAGGUUUAAAGCAAAUAUUGUCUUGAGAUGAUGGAAUGUUUUCAAAAUCUUUUGCCGUUAAGCUAGCCCAAGAUUUGGUCUGCCUUACACACGGUGCCUUCACUUUUCGACUAUGAGAUCAUGUGUUUAUCAGAGAAGCCCAGUAAGUGAUACAGGUAAAAAUGGACCUGUUCCAUUUGGAGGGAAAUGGUAGCUACUGGGUUGGUCCCUGACUACAUUAUUUGUCUAGUCAUUGUCAUCUCUAAGAUGGAGUUCCCUUGCGGCUCAGUGGAUUAAGGAUCUGGUGUUGUCACUGCUAGGGCUCGGGUUGCUGCUGUGGUGGGAGUUUGAUCCCUGGCCCAGGAACUUCUGCAUCUGUGGGUGUGGCCAGGGGAAAAAAAAAAAAGAGGGGCAUUCCCAUUGUGGUGCAGCAGAAACAAAUCCAUGAGGAUUCGGGUUCGAUCCCUGACCUUGCUCGGUGAGUUAAGGAUCCAGCGGCGUUGCUGUGAGCUGUGGUGUAGGUCACAAAUGUCGCGUGGAUUCUGAGUUGCUGUGUCUGUGGCGUAGGCUGGCAGCUGUAGCUCUGAUUUGACCCCUAGCCAGGG
rnacentral:lncRNA from 1 species